rnacentral:rRNA from 1 species
UUUAAAUGUAAAUUUUUGAACUAAAUUAGUAAUAGAUAUGAUCUUCAAAUUUAAAGAUUUUGGCGGUAUUUUAGUCUAUUCAGAGGAACCUGUUCUGUAAUUGAUAGUCCACGAUUAACUUUACUUAAUUUUAAAAAUUUGUAUAUCGUUGUUUAUAGAAAAUUUUAUAAGAAAGAUAAUUUUUAAUAAAUUUAAUUAAAUUAUAAAUCAAAUCAAGGUGCAGUUUAUAGUUAAGGUAGAAAUGGGUUACAAUAAAUUUAUUUAUUAAUGGAUAUAAAUUUUAAAAUUUUAUUAAAGGUGGAUUUGAUAGUAAUAUUAUUUAAUUAAAUAAUAUGAUUAUAGCUCUAAAAUAUGU